rnacentral:rRNA from 1 species
AAUAGAUACCCGGUAGUCCACGCCGUAAACGAUGUCGACUUGGAGGUUGUUCCCUUGAGGAGUGGCUUCCGGAGCUAACGCGUUAAGUCGACCGCCUGGGGAGUACGGCCGCAAGGUUAAAACUCAAAUGAAUUGACGGGGGCCCGCACAAGCGGUGGAGCAUGUGGUUUAAUUCGAUGCAACGCGAAGAACCUUACCUACUCUUGACAUCCACGGAACUUUUCAGAGAUGAAUUGGUGCCUUCGGGAACCGUGAGACAGGUGCUGCAUGGCUGUCGUCAGCUCGUGUUGUGAAAUGUUGGGUUAAGUCCCGCAACGAGCGCAACCCUUAUCCUUUGUUGCCAGCGGUUAGGCCGGGAACUCAAAGGAGACUGCCAGUGAUAAACUGGAGGAAGGUGGGGAUGACGUCAAGUCAUCACGGCCCUUACGAGUAGGGCUACGCACGUGCUACAAUGGCGCAUACAAAGAGAAGCGACCUCGCGAGAGCAAGCGGACCUCAUAAAGUGCGUCGUAGUCCGGAUUGGAGUCUGCAACUCGACUCC